UUUUUUUUUAAUGUGAAGAAUGACACUUUUGUCAACAAAAGUGUCUCUGACUGUAAAUGACUUGUAUUCCAGAAAUGACACCACUUCCGGGUCAUAAAGCUGAGAACAUCAUCUCCACGUCCAUACUCCGAGGGAACAGUUGGAGUUUGGAGUGUCGGGACGGGGAUCGCGGUGGGGCCUGCAGCUCCUGCUGGAUGCCGGCUCAACGUGGACAACUGCGGGCUUCGUUGACAUCCGACAUUCGGGAUGGCUGCGCCGCUGUUUGCUGGGUCACUGAACAAUGCCUCUAAUGUUUCUAAAGGAACAACAAAAGAGCAAAGGUUUCAUAAAGCCAUUUUUCUAUAGCUAUUACAUGAUUUCAACACAAACCUAUUAAAAAACUGUUAUCGUCCUGUUAUCACAGAGAUAUUGAGAACACUCACCUUUGUACUUCUUCUCCAGGUCCAUCACAAGCAGAGAUAAGUAGCCGUGGUUAGCCGAAAGUAGGGCCUUGAUCCAGCUCUCCUGGCUGGCCUGGUCCUCAGCGGCAAACUUGUAAGGACGCAGGCCCAGCUCGCUCCACACCAAAGAAAAGGCAAACUGCUCCUCCGAUUCGCACAGCUGAACGGUGCAGCCCUCCAGAACAAUGACUCCGAUGAGGUCACGGUCAUCCGGAUGGUCCUUGUAGAAAAGGAGGUUCCCCUUCAGAACAAACCAGCGCUUGUGAUAGGAAGGCCUGAUAUCACCCUGCGGGACAAUGCUUUCAGUUAGUCUGGAUUUUAUGCAACAGGAAGGCGAGCGCUUUUCCUGUUCAGCACUAAAACCAAAACAAAAAACUCAACAAAUAGUGCAUGGGCUCAUGUUGUGAAGUUUUCUGCCGCCAUCUAGUGGCGAAUACCUGAAGUCCAUUUAAAACUUUUGCUCGUAUUACAAAUCAAAACAAGACCAGGCGACCACUAUUGUGCAGACUAGCUUACCUUGAUCAUUUUUUUUUGCUUACCUUCUUAUAGAGAUAGCCUGCUUUGUCCACUGGUGAAUUGCUGGAUUCAAAAUAGGACACAACCUUCUCGUCUAUCUUCAUUUCAUCACAUCACUGGCUGCUCAGCGCCAAACCUGUUGCGACAUGUCCAAGAAUUACAACACGAGUCCAUUUCCCCACACA